UACGGGGGGAGCAAACGUUGUUCGGAAUCACUGGGCGUAAAGGGCGUGUAGGCGGUUCGGUAAGUGGAAUGUGAAAUCCCCCGGCUUACCCGGGGAACUGCAUCCCAUACUGCUGGACUUGAGUGCGGGAGAGGAUGGAGGAACUCCUGGUGUAGCGGUGGAAUGCGCAGAUAUCAGGAAGAACACCAACGGCGAAGGCAGCUCGCUGGGACGGUACUGACGCUGAGACGCGAAAGCGUGGGGAGCGAACAGG
rnacentral:rRNA from 1 species